GAUGAACGCUAGCUACAGGCUUAACACAUGCAAGUCGAGGGGCAGCACAGUGUAGCAAUACACGGGUGGCGACCGGCGCACGGGUGCGUAACGCGUAUCCAACCUUCCCGUUACUCAGGGAUAGCCUUCCGAAAGGGAGAUUAAUACCUGAUGGUGUUGAAAUUCCGCAUGUUAUUUCAACUAAAGAUUUAUCGGUAACGGAUGGGGAUGCGUGACAUUAGAUAGUAGGCGGGGUAACGGCCCACCUAGUCUACGAUGUCUAGGGGUUCUGAGAGGAAGGUCCCCCACACUGGAACUGAGACACGGUCCAGACUCCUACGGGAGGCAGCAGUGAGGAAUAUUGGUCAAUGGUCGGAAGACUGAACCAGCCAAGUAGCGUGAAGGAUGAAGGUUCUAUGGAUUGUAAACUUCUUUUAGCAGGGACGAAGAAAUGACGGUACCUGCAGAAAAAGCAACGGCUAACUACGUG
rnacentral:rRNA from 1 species